rnacentral:lncRNA from 1 species
CUAAAACAUUUUUAAGUGGUAAGCUCUUGAUGAUUCAGAAAUACAUGCCUUCGCUCGCAAAACUCCAAACUGCAUUAUCUCUAAAACGACAAUAGAUAUCUCAAAUCUGUUAAAUGAUAAAUGAUCUACAGUUGAAGGACAACAUUAUAGAAAAAGAAUUGGGACAAUUUCAAAGUUCACCAAGGUCACAAUUAAUCAUCAAAUAUAUGAUGCAAUACCAAACUUGAGAACCGGAAGUCGUAGAGACAUGGGACUACCACCAUUCAACUCAGGACCACUUGACCUUUCAAAUAUCACAAGGUCAAGGUCAUAGUAUAAUGUGAAGGUCAAGGUGAAAUUUCAUCAUGACCUGACAUUGACCUCAAAUUGAAGGUCUUGAACUACUGAUCAUCUUUGCAGUUUAUAGUAGGUUGAUAUCUGUUACCUUUAAAAAGAUAUACACACAAUACUAUACUUUUAAGAAUCAUCCCGUCGUAACUUUUGAACAGACAGUCGGACUCUUUUGAGCUCAGUGUAUAAAAUGUAGAGCUCGUCGAGAGGAACAUUUUAUACGCUGUAAGUAUGCAGCAAACUCUUAU